UACAGAGGGUGCGAGCGUUACUCGGAAUUACUGGGCGUAAAGCGUGCGUAGACGGUUUCGUAAGUCGGGUGUGAAAGCCCCGGGCUCAACCUGGGAAUUGCAUUCGAGACUGCGUAGCUAGGGUGCGGAAGAGGGAAGCGGAAUUUCCGGUGUAGCGGUGAAAUGCGUAGAUAUCGGAAGGAACAUCAGUGGCGAAAGCGGCUUCCUGGUCCAGCACCGACGUUCAGGCACGAAAGCGUGGGGAGCAAACAGG
rnacentral:rRNA from 1 species